CUGAAGUCCACUAACCGCUGGCAAAAAUGUUGCCAGUCCUCUUAAAUGCAGGCUUCCCGCUAUAGCAAAAGUUGAAACGUUGAAAAAACUGCUGUAUUGACUUAAAUCUAAUCUAAAAUUAGAAAAUUAAUAAUAGGAAUUGGUGGGACGACAAAUGGAGGAAAGACCACUCUGAGUAAAAGCCUCCAGAAGCUUCUGCAUAACAGCCUAGUUAUUUCUCAAGACAAUUUUUUUCAAGGAUGACUCAGUGGUCCCUGCUGAUGUCAAUGGCUUUAAGCAGUAUGACACUUUGGACGCCCUCCACAUGGACAGGAUGAUGGCAGACAUUGGCUCGUGGCAGGAGGAUCCUCAGGGCUUCAUGAUGUCUCAUGAUCGUGUAGUGAAAUCCACAGCAACUGAGACAUCCAAUGUGUUUAUUCUUAUAGUGGAAUGAUUCCUCAUUUUUAAUCAUGGGUAAUUUUGUUAAACAGUCUACCUUUUAUGUAAGAUGAAGAGGAAGUCAUACAGGAGAAAGAUUUUGUACAGUUAUGUUUGGAAGGCAAGAUGGGACAGAACUCUAGCUAUCUUGCUCCUCAUCAGAGGCGAACAAUCUUUUGACAAACUUGUUGUGACAUUAUAGUUCACCUAAAAAUGAAUUGUCUGUAGUCAUUUGACUCACCUUCUUCCAAAACAUAAUUCCAAACCUAUAACUUUUUUCAUCUUUGAAACGCAGGUAUUAGUUUAGAUUUUUUUUUAAACCUGAGAGAUUUCCGUCCCUCCUUUUUGAAGGUCUGAAAUCAAAACUUUUAUGCUUUAAAAGUUCAUAAAGUCAUUGUAAACGUAAUCAAUAUAUAAAUCAAGCAAUUAGUCUUCUGAAGGGAUGGAGUCACUUUAAUUUAACAGAUUUAAUUUCGGCUUUACAUAUAAAAAACAGUCAAUGCACAUACAUUUACAUUUAAAUUACAUUUAAUCAUUUAGCAGACACUUUUAUCCAAAGCGAC